GCAGAGUUGGCCGAGUGGUUAAGGCGGCGGACUCAAGAUCCCCUCACUUUACAGUGGCGUGGGUUAGAAUCCCACACUCUGCA